rnacentral:rRNA from 1 species
GACGUAGGGCGCGAGCGUUGUCCGGAUUUAUUGGGCGUAAAGCGCACGUAGGCGGCUUUGCAAGUUAGAGGUGAAAGCCCGGGGCUCAACUCCGGAAUUGCCUUUAAAACUGCAUCGCUAGGAAUUGUGGAGAGGUAAGUGGGAAUUCCGAGUGUAGAGGUGAAAUUCGUAGAUAUUCGGAAGAACACCAGUGGCGAAGGCGACUUACUGGACACAUAUUGACGCUGAGGUGCGAAAGCGUGGGGAGCAAACAGGG